UACAGAGGUCUCAAGCGUUGUUCGGAUUCAUUGGGCGUAAAGGGUGCGUAGGCGGCGCGGUAAGUCGGGUGUGAAAUCUCGGGGCUUAACUCCGAAACUGCAUUCGAUACUGCCGUGCUUGAGGACUGGAGAGGAGACUGGAAUUUACGGUGUAGCAGUGAAAUGCGUAGAUAUCGUAAGGAAGACCAGUGGCGAAGGCGAGUCUCUGGACAGUUACUGACACUGAGGCACGAAGGCCAGGGGAGCAAACGGG
rnacentral:rRNA from 1 species